rnacentral:rRNA from 1 species
UACGUAGGUGGCAAGCGUUGUCCGGAAUUAUUGGGCGUAAAGAGCGCGCAGGCGGCGUCGUAAGUCGGUCUUAAAAGUGCGGGGCUUAACCCCGUGAGGGGACCGAAACUGCGAUGCUAGAGUAUCGGAGAGGAAAGCGGAAUUCCUAGUGUAGCGGUGAAAUGCGUAGAUAUUAGGAGGAACACCAGUGGCGAAAGCGGCUUUCUGGACGACAACUGACGCUGAGGCGCGAAAGCCAGGGGAGCAAACGGG